UCCUGGUUAACCCAGGCAGUCUCAUUAGAGUUCCCACCUUCACGUGUUGGCAACUAACGAUAAGGGUUGCGCUCGUUGCGGGACUUAACCCAACACCUCACGGCACGAGCUGACGACAGCCAUGCAGCACCUGUGCAGCAGUCCCGAAGGAAGACACUAUCUCUAGUGCUGUCUACUGCAUGUCAAGCCUGGGUAAGGUUCUUCGCGUUGCAUCGAAUUAAACCACAUGCUCCACUGCUUGUGCGGGUCCCCGUCAAUUCUUUUGAGUUUCAGCCUUGCGACUGUACUCCCCAGGCGGUAUACUUAACGCGUUAGCUCCGGCACAGCCAGGGUUGAUUCCAGCUACACCAAGUAUACAUCGUUUACAGCAAGGACUAC
rnacentral:misc_RNA from 1 species